rnacentral:rRNA from 1 species
UACGUAGGGUGCAAGCGUUAUCCGGAAUUAUUGGGCGUAAAGAGCUCGUAGGCGGUUUGUCGCGUCUGCUGUGAAAACCCGAGGCUCAACCUCGGGCCUGCAGUGGGUACGGGCAGACUAGAGUGCGGUAGGGGAGAGUGGAAUUCCUGGUGUAGCGGUGGAAUGCGCAGAUAUCAGGAGGAACACCGAUGGCGAAGGCAGAUCUCUGGGCCGUAACUGACGCUGAGGAGCGAAAGCAUGGGGAGCGAACAGG